UUUUCAGUAUCGCAGUUAACGCGAUAAGCACUCCGCCUGGGAAGUACGGCCGCAAGGCUAAAACUCAAAUGAAUUGACGGGGACCCGCACAAGCGGUGGAUCAUGUGGUUUAAUUCGAAGAUACGCGAAGAACCUUACCGGCCCUUGACAUACCAAUCGCGGACUUAAGAGAUUAAGUCUUUCACUUCGGGUGGAUUGGAUACAGGUGCUGCAUGGCUGUCGUCAGCUCGUGUCGUGAGAUGUUGGGUUAAGUCCCGCAACGAGCGCAACCCUUACCUUCAAUUGCCAGCACAUUAUGGUGGGAACUUUGAAGGAACUGCCGGUGAUAAGCCGGAGGAAGGUGGGGAUGACGUCAAGUCCUCAUGGCCCUUACGGGCCGGGCUACACACGUGAUACAAUGGUAACUACAAAAGGCAGCGAAGGAGCGAUCUGGAGCAAAUCUCUAAAAGUUACCUCAGUUCGGAUUGCACUCUGCAACUCGAGUGCAUGAAGUUGGAAUCGCUAGUAAUCGUAGAUCAGCGCGCUACGGUGAAUACGUUCCCGGGUCUUGUACACACCGCCCGUCACACCAUGGGAGUUGGUUUUACCUGAAGCUGGUUCGCUAACCGUAAGGAGGCAGCCAACCACGGUAAGAUUAGCGACUGGGGUGAAGUCGUAACAAGGUAACCGUAGGGGAACCUGCGGUUGGAUCACCUCCUU
rnacentral:rRNA from 1 species